UACGGAGGAUGCGAGCGUUAUCCGGAUUUAUUGGGUUUAAAGGGUGCGCAGGCGGAGAGUUAAGUCAGCGGUGAAAUGUCCCGGCUCAACCGGGGCACUGCCGUUGAUACUGGCUUUCUGGAGUACGGACGGCGCCGGCGGAAUGUGUCAUGUAGCGGUGAAAUGCUUAGAUAUGCCACAGAACACCGAUCGCGAAGGCAGCUGGCGAGGCCGGUACUGACGCUCAGGCACGAAAGCGUGGGGAUCAAAC
rnacentral:rRNA from 1 species